ensembl:lncRNA
UUCUUGGGUACAAGUCAUGUGCGGCUUCUCAAACGCGCUUCCUGUUUCGGUGGAACUUACCAACACAAACUGGGGGGCGGGUUCUAAACUGAAUUUCUAAACUGAAUCAUUCAUUAUAUACUACCAGGGCGUCGCUGAAAAUUAUUGUGAGAGUUUGUUUACAGACUGCUGUUGUCACUGCUGCAAACUCUCAUAUACAUAAAUAAUUAAUCGAAAAAUAUAAUUUCCCUGCAGCCAGUGGUCCCCCUUCCCAAUAGCCCUUAGUCGGGUCGGUCUGUUUGUAUACAGUAACAGGUCAUCGAGGUUCACGCAGACAGUUCACCACGCGACCGGCGGCGAAUACAAACGGUAUAUAAACCGAGACUCUCAGCAGUGUCAGAACCGGACGCGACAGAGUAUCUCCUGGCGUCAACGCAGCCUCAUUCAUCCCCUGGAUUUCUUUUGGUGGGAGCGCAUAGAGCCGAGCCGAGCCUCAUCUGACUGAUGCAAACAGGUAACGUUAUGACAUAUUCAUUGCUUAUUGUAAUAUUUAGGAGGCUCUUAUGACAGAAAUAGCGAUAUCAUCAAAGAAAAAGUGUCAGAUUGAGGGUGUACUCCCACUAGGCACGGUUGCCUUGAACAGAGCCCGAGCGCGACUAUCACCCGUCCCCCGCUGACCCGCGCUCACACAUGCACUAAACUUCCAAGCUGGAGCUCGCGCAGGUUAUGUGCGAGAUGACGGAGAUACCCACUUCCGCUAAUAGUCUGAGAUAAUAUAUCCAGCCCCGCAGCACACACGUAUCAGGCCGAAAGUGAGGCGAACCAUGGUUUAGGACGGAUGUGGUCCUUUAGAGUCACACCACUUACAGCUUAGUAGCGUAAUGCGUGUUCUUUUGUUAGAUUUAAUCAUGCGAGCUAUUUUCGAAUGGAUUUAUGAUAAGAUUUAUAUGUACAACCUUUAAUAACAAUACCUGAAAUGCUAAAAAUGCACAAUCUGAUCAUUUAUUCAUAUUCAUUUUGAUCA